UGGGCUUGACAUAGGCAGGAUGGGCGCAGAGAUGUGUCGUCCCUUUGUGGUCUGUUUACAGGUGGUGCAUGGUU
rnacentral:rRNA from 1 species